CCUACGGGCGUGCUGCAGUGGGGAAUAUUGGACAAUGGGCGAAAGCCUGAUCCAGCCAUGCCGCGUGUGUGAAGAAGGCCUUCGGGUUGUAAAGCACUUUCAGUGGGGAAGAAAGCCUUGGGGCUAAUACCCUCGAGGAAGGACAUCACCCACAGAAGAAGCACCGGCUAACUCCGUGCCAGCAGCCGCGGUAAUACGGAGGGUGCGAGCGUUAAUCGGAAUUACUGGGCGUAAAGCGCGCGUAGGCGGUCUGAUAAGCCGGUUGUGAAAGCCCCGGGCUCAACCUGGGAACGGCAUCCGGAACUGUCAGGCUAGAGUGCAGGAGAGGAAGGUAGAAUUCCCGGUGUAGCGGUGAAAUGCGUAGAGAUCGGGAGGAAUACCAGUGGCGAAGGCGGCCUUCUGGACUGACACUGACGCUGAGGUGCGAAAGCGUGGGUAGCAAACAGGAUUAGAUACCCUGGUAGUC
rnacentral:rRNA from 1 species